rnacentral:lncRNA from 1 species
AGAAAACAGAACGAAUCGUUGAAAAAACAGUUGAACGAAAGUAAUGUAAACGUUUCGGAUGAACCUGUAGGGGCGGCUGCUCAAAUUCAGGAAAAAAUAGAACUGACCGUUAUAGGCACGAUUAAAACGAAAUUCAAGGAACGCAGAUGUGUACCGAGACAACCUGGCCUCUGUCCGUUAGCCCAAGCUCGCCUUACUAUCUCAAACUCUGUGUUUACAAAUCCCAAUCAUGCUCUCGAAGGCCUUGGCGAUUUCUCGCAUAUGUGGUAAUAAUUAUUAAUUGAAAUACAUUUCGUUCAUUUUAUGUUGAAACAUUAAAUUUUAAAUGUAAUUAAAUAUUUCAGGAUUUUAUUUCAUUUUCAUAAGAACGAAACUACACAUGUUCAUGCCAAAGUAUCGCCGCCGAGAUUAAACGGUUUGCGGACUGGUGUACUCGGCACUCGAUCUCCGCACAGACCCUCGCCUAUUGGUUUGUCUUUGGUGCAAAUUGAUAAAGUGGAAGGUGGAAUUAUUGUUACUUAUUGAUAUAUAUAUAUAUAUAUUGAUAUAUUGUAUUUGUUUAGUAUACAAAUUCUAAAUAAUUGGUUUGAUUGUUGACAUUUUAGGCAACUCUGUUUAUUUUUCUGGCGUUGAUAUGAUAGAUGGUACUCCAGUGUUUGAUAUUAAACCGUACAUCCCUCACUACGAUGCACCUGUUUCACUGAGAACUAAUCAACAUGUUACAUUGUUUGAUAAUGGCUCGCAUCAAUUACUUUUGGAUCCUUUGACAGCUGACCGAGAAGCACCAGACGGAGAGGAAACAGAUGCUUACGAUCAUAAUAUGCCUCUUUCCCCACUCCACACAAGGGUACAAUUUUUUACAAGUUAUUAUAGUGUUGUAAUCAUAUUAUUUUAUGUGUAUAAUAUAUAUAUUUUGAAAUAGGUUAGAGUUCCUUUAUGGAUUACUGAAACGGCAACAAAUCAACUUGAUGUGCAGUUCUCAUCGAGGGCUCGAGAAUUUUUAGAUAGAUUGGAGACUAAUGAUAUUGAAACAACUAUAGUGAGCGUUUUAAAAGAAGAUCCUCGGUCUGUAUAUGUCCGUGAGCGUUAUAGCAAUCAAUUUUACACGUUUUUAAUUGGAGGCUAUCAUGUGAGUUGCAAGUUUGAUGACAGUAGACAUAUAAUAAGUGUAUACAGAAUAUCACUCGUUGACAAUUUGGAUAACGUAGAAAAUCAAGAUGGUGCCCAUUACUUGUCUGUAGUUUAAUAACUAUUUUUAUCAUUAUGUUCCUUAUUUAACACUAUUUUACAAAAUAGUGAUUAUAGUAUAGCACUAAUUCCAAAGCUAUAAGUUUUUUUUAAAUAUAAUUUUUGAACUAUAAAUUAUUCAUUAACUUUAGUAAUUUAAUGUAAAUUUUUCAGCUGUUAUCAUUCUUAAGUUUGAAUUAGACUAUGCAAUCUCUUUUUUUUACAUUUAUUCCCUUAGUAAAUAUUGAACUAAUCGUACCUAAAAUAAGACUAUUGAAAAUUAAGUUAUAAGAGAUUGUUGUGCUGAAAUUUUGCAUUAGCAAUUUAAAUAUUGUCUAUAGGUCAUAGGCAAAUGUCGAUGUAAGACUUAAGUUAACCAGAUGAUCCAACAGAUUGCUUAAAAGUCAAACCUAACACAAUCAUAAUUAUUUGCAAUAUUUUACAUCAAUAUUCAUAUUUAUUUUUUCAAUCUUAACUAUCUGGUCAGCAUAUUUGUUAGUCAUAAUUCAGUAAAGUAUACAUGUUAACAUAAAAGUUUACCUCCUGAAGUUAUUUAUGAAAAUGUAGUUAUGUGUGAUAAUUAUUGUUGAUAAGUCAUGAAUUAAACAUAUUUGUAUGUGUAGAUUUUUAUUAGAAAAAUCUCCAAUUAUUGAUCUCCAAAAAUAAUAAUGGGCACCUCUGAUGUAUUAGGCUAAGUGAUGUACGUAUUAUACAUAUGUUUUUUUGAUGUUUU